AUUUACUGAAUAUUGGUGUUUUUAAGAAUGAAUUUAAAAUCACUCAAUCCCUCCUGGCUCUUCACAGUUUUUAUGAAUGGAGGAGGGUGUUAGGUUUGUGUAUUCUGAUAAUCUAACAAAGAGUUGUUCUUGUUUUGGUAGGCUGCAGCCAAAUGUGAUAGCAUGACGAUGACUCCUGGCCCGUGGCUGGGUUUGCCAGCUGUUCCUGCGGUGACACUGUAUAAACACGACCCUGCCUUGACUUUAGUUGCUGGUCUUAUAUCAAAUAAGCCCACAGACAAACUCCGUGCCCUGCCUCUGUGGUUAUCUUUACAAUACUUGGGACUUGAUGGGUUUGUGGAGAGGAUCAAGCAUGCCUGUCAACUGAGUCAAUGGUUGCAGGAAAGUUUGAAGAAAGUGAAUUACAUCAAAAUCUUGGUAUGGUAUAUAAUUUCAUCUGUUUUCAAAAUACAACUUUUUUUGAACUUCAGCAACUUAGAAUGAUUUUAGAACUUUAGAAUGAUUUUCUCCACAUUUCAGUGGAAUUGUGGCAGCUCCAGUAAAAAAC
rnacentral:lncRNA from 1 species